rnacentral:lncRNA from 1 species
UAUAAUGAGGUGGACCCGAGUAUGACGGUGGUGAUGGAGUUGGUGAGGGGGAACUUUUCGGGGGAGAUUUAUAGACGUAAGGUGAUGGUGAAGGUGAGGGAGAUGGUUGUUCUUUGGAUGGAGAUGGGGGAGAUUUGUAGACGUAAGGCGAUGGAGGAGAUUCAGUUGGGGGUGUUGAUGGUGAACUUGAUGGAGGGGGUUUGUAGGUGAAGGGCGAUGGAGGAGUUUCGGGGGAAGAUGAUGUUGGAGGAGGUGUUAGGCAUGCAUUGAUCGGAGGUGAUGGUGGAGGAGGAGGUGUUAGGCAUGCAUUGAUCGGAGGUGAUGGUGAUGGUGAAGUUGAUGGCGGAGACUUAUAGACGUAAGGAGAUGGAGGAGAUUCUUUUGGUGCCGGAGAUGGAGAUGGUGGAGAUUUAUAUACAAAAGGUGAUGGAGGAGAUUCUUUUGGUUUUGGAGAUGGAGAGGGGGAGGAUGAUGGUGGAGAUUUGUAGACAAAAGGAGAUGGAGGGGAUUCUUUAGGAGUUGAAGGAGAAGAGGGUGGUGGUGGGGGACAAGUGUUGAUAUAGUGAGGUGGAGCUUCAUGUGAAGGUGUUGAUGGACUUGGUGAUGGAGAGGAUGAUGGUGGAGAUUUGUAGACAAAAGGGGCAGGACCAGAUUCAGUUGGUGGAGGUGGUGAGACAUACACGUAUUUUUUAGGUGGUGGAGGUGGUGAGACAUACACGUAAGGAGCUUUUUUAGGUGGUGGUGGUGUAGAUGCAACCAGGGGUGCUGGUGGAAUUUCCUUAACUGGUGGAGGUGGGGAGAGAAAGAGGUGAGGUGGAGGCGGGGAAGGUGAAGGUGGAGGCGGGGAAGGUGGUGGUGAAGGCGGGGGAGGUGAGGGUGGAGGUGGCGAAGGUGGUGGUGAAGGCGGGGGAGGUGAGGGUGGAGGAGGCGAAGGUGGUGGUGAAGGCGGGGGAGGUGAGGGCGGAGGAGGUGAAGGUGGUGGAGAAGGCGGUGGAGGUGAAGGUGGAGGAGGCGAAUGUGGUGGUGACGGUGGUGGAGGUGAAGGAGGGGGCGGCGAAUGCACUGGCGGUGGUGGAGAGGGAGUCGAUGGUGGUGGCGGAGAGGUAUAA